GGCUGUAUACUAUUUAAAAGCGAGCUUCAUCUGCGCCAGCCACAGUCUGACUUAGUUAAACGCGACGUGCAGUCGGCCUUGUCUUUUUGUGGCAGUGGGUGAAAAUUGCCAUGAACGGGGAAGUUGUUUGGUUAAUAUAAUAGACCGGUUUCCCUUCCAGGUAACACACACAGUCACAAAUGUGCUACUUUUACUGCCCCAAAUUCCCCUACACACGUGUGGCAUUGCACCUAUAUCGAAGGGAGACAGAUACAAUAUGUAAAUAAAUGUGGAACGUCUAAAUUUAAACAAACUUGUUGACUGCAGAAUGAGUAAUAAAAAAAGCGGGAAUGAAUUCUAGAAUGGAACUUGUUUGUGUUCACACAAAUAUUAUUAUGAGGGGCAAUCGAAAAAAGCAAAAAGACAUUAUUUUAAAACAGUUGGAGAGUCAACGACUUCAAUAUUCUACAAAUGCAAACAAAGUACAUUUAAAUUCGGAAUAAUUUUGAAUCGAUUCCUGGAUGAUCUCAAUCCCGUGACUGACAAGGCAGCUGAAAUAUUCAACCGGUUCUGCAUUGCAAAUGCGAAUAUUUGGAAUGAUUCGAAGAAAGUACUAUAUACAAUACUAUAUUCGCAUUAGUAUAAACAGUUCACAUUAUACCUAAGAGCAUAUGGAUGUACUCAAAAUAUAUCAUCAAAAAAAAUAAUAGCAAACACAAAUCAUUAAAAAUAUU